CUCGCGAAUAACUAGGCAGAGCCCAUAAAAAAAAAAAAAAAAAAAAAAAACAUAAAAAUAAAUAAAAAAUAAUAAAUAAUUGAUUUUUAUUACUUUUUUAUGUUAUCUUUUUUUGUGUCAUU
rnacentral:ribozyme from 1 species